UACGUAGGUGGCGAGCGUUGUCCGGAAUUACUGGGCGUAAAGCGCGCGUAGGCGGUAGGCCAAGUCUGCUGUGAAAUCGCCCGGCUCAACUGGGCGCGGUCGGUGGAAACUGGUCAACUGGAGGACGGUAGAGGCGAGUGGAAUUCCCGGUGUAGUGGUGAAAUGCGUAGAGAUCGGGAGGAACACCAGUGGCGAAGGCGGCUCGCUGGGCCGGACCUGACGCUGAGGCGCGAAGGCGUGGGGAGCGAACGGG
rnacentral:rRNA from 1 species